rnacentral:rRNA from 1 species
AUACGUAGGUGACAAGCGUUAUCCGGAUUUACUGGGCGUAAAGGGCGUGUAGGCGGUCUUGCAAGUCAGAAGUGAAAUUCCUGAGCUCAACUCGGGCGCUGCUUCUGAAACUGCAGGACUUGAGUGCUGGAGGGGAUAGCGGAAUUCCUAGUGGAGCGGUAAAAUGCGCAGAUAUUAGGAGGAACACCGGUGGCGAAGGCGGCUAUCUGGACAGUAACUGACGCUGAGGCGCGAAAGCACGGGGAGCAAACAGGAUUAGAUACCCUGGUAGUCCGUGCCGUAAACGAUGAAUACUAGGUGUAGGGGGUAUCGACUCCCUCUGUGCCGCAGUUAACACAUUAAGUAUUCCACCUGGGGAGUACGGCCGCGAGGUUGAAACUCAAAGGAAUUGACGGGG